CUCCAGCAAGCUCUUCCGGCCGGAUUGAUGGCGAAAUCCCCAAGUAUAUCCCACAGAAUCUAGGGAUCUUUACCUCUAAUGGGAGAAUUUCCAAGGUAGAGGCAAAAGGAGGAGGAAAGAGACUUUUUUAUAGAUGAAAAUCGGGCACAACAUGAAAGAAUUUGGUCUCCUUAGACUCCUUCCUCCGGCAGAAUUGGAGGAAGAAGUUGGAAAUGGGCAAGAGAAAGACUCCUAUCUGGAGUCUUCCUCCCUGCCACACAUGCCAAGCACGUGAUGCGGCCCAGUACCCAACAAAAAAAAUGGGUCCUUACAACUUUACAACUAAAAUGGAUGAUAUAAGGUUAGUUACAAAAAUCGAAGCUUUUGCUAGCAGCAAAAUAAAGCUUAGUUUAUUCCUCACUCUUUCUUGGUUGUUAGAUUUGCAAUAUAUGUCCCUAUGUAUGAAGAUAUAUGCGAUCAAAAAGGUUCCAUACUAUAAGAUUAGCAUAAUUAUUAACAGCCAUAUAUAUAUAUAUAUAUAUAUAUAUAUAUAUGUCCAUAAACAAUAUAAUGAUAUGUUUCAUAUUGAUAAGGGAAAACAUUAAGAAUAUUUAUUGAAAUUAAUUUAAAUUACCAUCACAUGCCUUUACACUGCACAUGCAUGUACAAGACAGGAUAAUAUGUACAUUUCCCAAAGGUGCCACUCUGGAAAAUAGGGAAAAGCAUUAUUGAAAGAAUAAUAAUUAUAACAAUAACAGCAGCAGCAAUUGUCAUGCAUGCACGACACACAAGGUCAUCGAGUGAUAGCCUGCCCCCCUGCUACGUGCAAGUGCAUGCGCAUUGGCAUAAAGACAAAAGCUUGUUUUCUGAACAUGGAAGUUGCAUUAUAAAAUUAAACCUGUGAAAAAUAUUGAAGACUAAGGAGUCUGCUAGUGGAUCUGGAGGAGGUAUCAUAGGUUCUGUGAGAUGGAGAACUCUAGGGAAAACUAGAACAUCCAGGACUUCUUGUAGGAUUCUUAUAUAAAUUGUAUAUAAAACUUGUGUCAAUAUUUAUCAAUUAUAUUAGAUUCUUAACAAGUACAGGAUGUUUGAAAUUGGAUUUAUUUUAAUAUAUUAACAUAGGGUAGAAAGGCUUUAAAUAGUGAAAAGCAUCUUUACUUGCAACUAGGUAAGCUGUAGAGAGCUUGGGAAUAAAUAAAAAGCAAGCAUAUAUUUCACUCAUCUCGUAUGUUUAGAUAGUGUAGGGAGUGCAUCCAAAUGAUUAAUCCAAUUUUCUGAGAAUAAAUUGAUUGCAUUCUGCAACUAAGAACAUCUCUCCAAUUCAACAUAGAUUAAAUAUGUCUUGCAAGAUUCAAGUUCCAGGGGUGCUGUAAGAAAAAAACUGGAGAUCGGACAGCUCAAUCCAACUUAAAACGGUAAGCAUCAUAUUAAUAUCAUUUUCAUGGAAAAACAAAUCACAAUAAAUUUACUCUCAAGAACCCUCAAGCUGCAGAGUAUGAUCUGUUUAUUUCUUCAAUAUCUGAAGAGUAUUAAGAGACACGUUGCUACUAAGUUGUGAAUACAUCACCUAUCACAAACUAAUUGUUUAGAUACGAAGAUGAUGCAUGUGUUUGAGAAAUUAUCAUACAAGGAACAAGCAGAACAGGCUGAGAGUUUGAUGGCAUAAACUACUUGGAACUAAAGACAGUAAACUAUGAAGAGAAUCUGGUUAUAGUUCUAAAAUGAACUUUUCUCAAUAAAUAUUACCCUAUUUUCUAGGAUUAAAAGCAAACUUCAAAAUGUUGCACAAAGCUACAUGCAGGAUGCACCUAUGUGCAUCGCCCUCGGUAACUCCAGUACUAAUGCAUUGAAACUUUGGUAGGUGCAUUAUCUCAGAGGAUCUUUGGAUUUUAUACAAUUUUUGGAGCUAAUCUUCCACAGAAAAAUAUCUUGGGGGUGAUUUAGCUCUUGUAUUUUAUAAGUCAGUUUCCUCGUAAUGGCAGAAAUCCUCAUUGUGCAUGUUAAACUUAUAGCCACUAAUUAA